rnacentral:lncRNA from 1 species
UGGAAUUUUUCGUUGUGUAUUUAUUUUCUGGUAAAGAUACAAAAUGUUAUAUCAUUUCAUUAGUUUUCGUAUUCAUUCGUAUAUUUCCGUAUGUAUAUAUAUUUCCGGUAGUAUUCGGAAACAUUCGUUUAUUUCCGAAUGUAUAAUUAUUUCGGUAGUAGUCGGAAACAUUCGUUUAUUUCCGAAUGUAAAGAAAUUUCCGAUCAUUUCCGGAAUCGUUUGUUGAUAUCUGCUUUUUCAUUCCGGAAUUAUUGGGUUGCUUCCGUAUUUUACUUCAUUGGUUGCAUUUUAUUGUGUACUUCAUUUCUUUUUUCUGGUUAUGUAUUUUGUUUCUUUUUUUUCUUGAUGGUGAUGUAUUUUGAUUCUUGUUUCACUCUCUGGUGGUAUAUUUAUUUGUCAAAUAAAAUAAACCAAAAUAAUUAGAAACAUCAGUGUAUAAAACAAACACAUAUCUCGAAAAAUAAACACAACGAC